rnacentral:rRNA from 1 species
UACGGGGGGGGCAAGCGUUGUUCGGAAUUACUGGGCGUAAAGGGCUCGUAGGCUGCCAACUAAGUCGGACGUGAAAUCCUGCGGCUUAACCGCAGGGCUGCCUUCUAAACUGUCAGGCUUGAGCACAGUAGAGGCAGGUGGAAUUCCCGGUGUAGCGGUGGAAUGCGUAGAGAUCGGGAAGAACAUCAGUGGCGAAGGCGGCCUGCUGGGCUGUUGCUGACGCUGAGGCGCGACAGCGUGGGGAGCAAACAGG